rnacentral:lncRNA from 1 species
AUACAUAUUCCAAAAUUUCCAUUCAACAAUACCACUGCAGUCCAAUAAUUAACGUUUCCAAAACAUUCACAAUCUUUUUACUAACAAUGCCAACUGCAAUCCAACAAUAAUAAAAAAAAAGACAAUCCAACAAUAUAAUAGCAUAAGCGUUAUUGCAUUAUGCCAUAGCACUUGUUCAUUACCUACAAUAACUAACUAAGCAAAAAUACAAUUAAUUAGUACAUUAAAUUAACAAUUAACAUAUCCAAAGCAUUCACAAUCUCAAACUCAAUGAGCACAUUUUUUUUUAUUGAACACAAACUCUUGUUAAUAGGAACCAAGGAAAAAAAACAUAUAUAUAUAUAUAAAAAAACAUAUCUCAACAUCACAACUUACUAUGUGAAGUCUGUUGUUAAUUGGUUAUAAUCAACUCGAGGAAUAGAAAAAAUUAAACUCCUGACAAGUAUAGCCAGUUCACCUUUGAGAGUACAAAGCAUAGACAGGAAACCAUUGUUUGCAUAACGUAAAGUCUUAAUCCAAUAGCAUCCAUCACAUUCUAGAUGUCAGCCUGUUGAAAGAAAAUGAAAAAUAUCAAACUGCAAUGCCUAAGUAGUACAUAAUUCUGAUUCUGCACCAUAGUGAAAGGUGAUGACAACAUGGAACAACUAGAUGGUCUAUCGUGCACAGUCAUAAGUGAAAAACAUAAAGGUGAUGACAACAUAUAGAGGUGUCAGUUGAAGUGAGAUUGAUACUCGAACCACCUACCCUAGUGUCAAGAAGAAAUAUUCUUAGAUUGUUGUUUACAUCAUUGAACUCAAUGCGUCGGCAAAUGGAGAUAUAUAGACCUACAUUUUUUAGGCUUGUAAAGCUCUUUUUUUUUUCUUCUUCAUCUUUCACUACUAACUUAUUAGCUUGACCAUCACUCGUACGUUUCGCCCAGGACCAAGAAAUCGAAGAAGAGUUAGGUUUUACAGGCAAAUUCAACACUUCAGCUGGUAUCUUGUACCCUGUGCAGUCUCUGUAUUAAACAAAACCUAGUUAAUUAUUGAUACAAUUAAACUACAGUAUUACAAUUCAACUAUAAAAUAAUUUUAUAAUAUUACUCUUUUCCCUCUUCUUUUAUCUGGGGUUGGGACCGGCAAAACAAUGGUUUUCAUAUGUUUGCAUGCUUUAGCGGAGUUAAAAAAGGGAUAGAUUAAAAAAAAAAAAAAAAAACCAUACUAUGUUCUCGUGUCCUUACAUAUAUGUAUCAUACUGUAACUUCUUCCAUAAAUUCUUUGGAAUUAAUAUUCCAAAAAUCUAUGAAAAUAACAAUAUUAUUUAAUUCAGGUCAGAUUAAGUUAUGCUAGAUUUUCAUGUGACCAUAACAAUUAUUACAAAGUAUAAUGAAAUCUCAAACAAAACAAGUUAUUUAAAAAAUAUAAAGACAUACAUAAGAAGAGUGAAUGGAAGCUGCCAGAUUGCACAAAGUAUCCUAAUUGUCUACACACUCCACUUUUAAGUGCUUCCUAAACAUACAGUGUCAUAUGAUGCAUACCACAAGUGAAAAAAUAGUGUGUGAUUACUUGCUGGAAGUAUGACUCACCAGAUAACGGAAUACCCUGAGAUAUGAACUGUCCCUAGGAAAUUCGUUUGAUGCCACAUUGAUCAUAGCUUUCCUGCAACAUUAAAAAAGAAAACAAUCCUAAAAUUAACAACAUGCACGAUCAUUUUUCCAAGAGAAUGAAAGGGAACACCUAAAUUUAUGACAAGUGGAGAAGAUCACAAAGAUGACAUUGAUCCAUUUCCACACAAAUAAGUCAUGCAUAUUAAUGUGACCCAAGUGAAGUAGUGACCCAAGACCUACCAACUUCAUUGAGUCCAACAUAGUACGUUUUACUACUUUUUACCUCUAUACGUUACAACUACAGUAGCCAUUCACGUUCAGUCAUUCUAAUGACUGAUGAAUAAUCCCACUUAUAGAGAAAGAUGCAAAUAAAAAGAAACAGAGUUGAAGUGCAAUGAAUCUAUGUCAUGUGCUACAUUACAUCUACAUGGAUUCAGAUUAUAGAUCUAAAUAUUAAGUUGUUAUAAGGUCCCUAUCCUAUAGAACACCGCAAUUUCCUUGCACAUUCAAAGAGAACUAUAUAUGAGCAUGAAGUAUAAGGACCAAUUACUGUAUUUGUGGCUGACCGUGAUCAUAAGAACUAGCACAGAAAGCUAGCUAACGUGCACAAUGCUCACUUGUUAUGAGUGAAGAAAGAUUUAAGUGUCAAAGAGUCAAUAAAAUUAAGAGUGAGAAUGAGUCUUCAACACCAAAGUAAUCUACCAUUACACUCAAAAAUAUUUUUGUUGAGAUAUGUUUAUUACUUGGCUUGCCGUACGCGAAGCACUUUUGACACAAGAUAAACUACUGAGAUAGAGCAAGCUACUUGAAACUAAUUGUGACCUCUGUAAUUUGGAGUAUGGAGUUCCCCAAAGAGUACAAGGCAGACAAAAACCAGAAAGUACCCAAAGGGUUCCCAGUACGAGUCACUCAACAGAUACCCUCCUAUAUGCAGUCCAAUUCUAAACUGGUGUGAACUCCAAUGAGAAGUCAGAGACGCACAUAUGGAAUGGAAUUGGAUAUGCAGACACUUCAAAGGACAACAACUGCGCACAGAAAUCUGCCAAGCUGUAGUCUGUACCACUACCUACUGGUUAUUGAGAGAAAGAAACAAAAGGAUCUUUGAGAAUGAUUUUUUUUUUGAAGAAACACUAAUAAAGACAAUCACAGAAGGAUUCAUACUCAGAUUCCAUGCUAAGCAUACAACUGUUAUUGAUAGUAACCAUCAGGUAUUCCAAGUGAUGCUCUCCUUCCUUUUUUUUUUUUCCUUUUUUUUUUUUUAAUUUCGAGAGUACUCAUAACUCAAUUAUUUGUUAAGAGUUUGAGAUAUGCUUUAAUAGGGAUGUGAUUCAAACCCAAAUGGACUAUACCUCCCUUGCAGUACAUAACUAAUUACCAUAAGAAUUUGAAAUUAAUAAAUAAAAUUUGAAAUCAUACAUGGAAAAUAUUAGAAAAAUAAGAAAACGGAUCAUUUGAUCUUCUUGAAUUCAUCGUCGUACAAAAUAACAAUAAAAGCAACAAAGUAAAAUCAUAAUUUAUUUGAACACCCAAUCCUUGAAUUUUAACAAGUAAUAAGACUGAUAGAGAGAGAGGGAGAGAGAGUAACACCUGUUGCAAUUGUGGAGCAAUGGAAGAAAAUAUUCCUAAGAAGCAAAAAGGCAUAAGAAACGAGAGGAUUUUGCGAGAAAAUAAAGGCAUAAUAAAUAAAGGCAUAAGAACUAAAAUUACACAGAUAUGGUUUAUUAGAAAGCAAUAAAUUAUGGUUUCAUAAAGAUGAUCAGAAUAUAAACUAAAAUUACAAAAAAAAAAAAAAAAAUUCUUGCACCAUCAGAAUUUAACUAACAAAGUAAUAAUGAUAUAGAUUACAUUUUUCUUUAAGAUUCGAAAGAAAUUACCUCAAAAUUGACGAUAGAAGCAAGAAGUUGUUCUAAAUCAAAACCAACAACCAAAGCCAAGUCUCCCAAAUCUAAUGGGAAGAACAAAUAGAAGGGAAAAAAACGAAGAAGGAAGAGAAGAAAUAGAAAUUGAUAGAGAUUAGAAGUGGUGAGAGAUGGUGAGAGAGACGGUGGGAGAGUUCUAAGCAUAAUAGAGUUCUUAUGCUAGAUUGGGAAAGAAGAAUUUAGUUUUUGCUACUAACGCCCAAAAUAAUCGCGUGCUAAUCACAUGGGUCAAAUUUGUGUUAUUGGAAUGUAACUACUAACACAAAGAAACUGUUA